rnacentral:rRNA from 1 species
GCUGUCUCCACCCGAGACUCAGUGAAAUUGAACUCGCUGUGAAGAUGCAGUGUACCCGCGGCAAGACGGAAAGACCCCGUGAACCUUUACUAUAGCUUGACACUGAACAUUGAGCCUUGAUGUGUAGGAUAGGUGGGAGGCUUUGAAGUGUGGACGCCAGUCUGCAUGGAGCCGACCUUGAAAUACCACCCUUUAAUGUUUGAUGUUCUAACGUUGACCCGUAAUCCGGGUUGCGGACAGUGUCUGGUGGGUAGUUUGACUGGGGCGGUCUCCUCCUAAAGAGUAACGGAGGAGCACGAAGGUUGGCUAAUCCUGGUCGGACAUCAGGAGGUUAGUGCAAUGGCAUAAGCCAGCUUGACUGCGAGCGUGACGGCGCGAGCAGGUGCGAAAGCAGGUCAUAGUGAUCCGGUGGUUCUGAAUGGAAGGGCCAUCGCUCAACGGAUAAAAGGUACUCCGGGGAUAACAGGCUGAUACCGCCCAAGAGUUCAUAUCGACGGCGGUGUUUGGCACCUCGAUGUCGGCUCAUCACAUCCUGGGGCUGAAGUAGGUCCCAAGGGUAUGGCUGUUCGCCAUUUAAAGUGGUACGCGAGCUGGGUUUAGAACGUCGUGAGACAGUUCGGUCCCUAUCUGCCGUGGGCGCUGGAGAACUGAGGGGGGCUGCUCCUAGUACGAGAGGACCGGAGUGGACGCAUCACUGGUGUUCGGGUUGUCAUGCCAAUGGCACUGCCCGGUAGCUAAAUGCGGAAGAGAUAAGUGCUGAAAGCAUCUAAGCACGAAACUUGCCCCGAGAUGAGUUCUCCCUGACUCCUUGAGAGUCCUGAAGGAACGUUGAAGACGACGACGUUGAUAGGCCGGGUGUGUAAGCGCAGCGAUGCGUUGAGCUAACCGGUACUAAUGAACCGUGAGG